AGCAGCCGCGGUAAUUCCAGCUCCAAUAGCGUAUAUUAAAGUUGUUGCAGUUAAAAAGCUCGUAGUUGAAUUUCGGGGUUAGUAGGCUGGUCGUGCCACUGGUACGUACUGGUCUCACUGAUUCCUCCUUCCUGAUGAACCGUAAUGCCAUUAAUUUGGUGUUGCGGGGAGACUGGACUGUUACUUUGAAAAAAUUAGAGUGUUUAAAGCAAGCUAACGCUUGAAUACAUUAGCAUGGAAUAAUGAAAUAGGACGUUCGAUCCUAUUUUGUUGGUUUCUAGGAUUGACGUAAUGAUUAAUAGGGAUAGUUGGGGGCAUUAGUAUUCAAUUGUCAGAGGUGAAAUUCUUGGAUUUAUUGAAGACUAACUACUGCGAAAGCAUUUGUCAAGGAUGUUUUCAUUAAUCAAGAACGAAAGUUAGGGGAUCGAAGACGAUCAGAUACCGUCGUAGUCUUAACCAUAAACUAUGCCGACUAGGGAUCGGAUGAUGUUAAUUUUUAAUGACUCAUUCGGNGCCUUAC
rnacentral:rRNA from 1 species